UACGUAGGGGGCAAGCGUUGUCCGGAUUUAUUGGGCGUAAAGAGCGUGUAGGCGGCCAUGUAGGUCCGGUGUGAAAACUCGAGGCUUAACCUCGAGAUGUCAUCGGAAACCAUUUGGCUAGAGUCCGGAAGAGGAGAGUGGAAUUCCUGGUGUAGCGGUGGAAUGCGCAGAUAUCAGGAGGAACACCGAUGGCGAAGGCAGGUCUCUGGGCCAUUACUGACACUGAGAAGCGAAAGCAUGGGGAGCGAACAGG
rnacentral:rRNA from 1 species